CGAAUAGUGAAAUGAAGAGAGCUAUCCGUCGACAGUCAAGUUAAAACACGGAUUGUAAUACUGUCAUGGAAUUGCUCUCUUUGUAUAACAUUCG
rnacentral:pre_miRNA from 1 species